rnacentral:lncRNA from 1 species
UACAUCUCACUUUUUUUCUUUUUUUAUGUUUUCCUAAAGUACCCUCUUCUCUUUUUAAUAUUUUCCUACACAACACCCCUCAUUAAAUGAGGGUUGUGUGGUCAGUUAAUACCUUGACGCACUACACACACCAACGUUUUCCCAAUAUAUAAGAGGACCUCUCGUCUUUCAUCAUCACAACAUAGCCGCUGCAUCUAAACCUACUCGGUCUCACCACCCUCCGUUUUUCAAACUCUCCAUCCUUUUCACUCAUUAAUAAACCAUGAUAGGUCCCUUUGGUCCACCAUGAACAUCAAGCAGAAGAAUUGAACUAUCUCGCAGCUGGCCAUAACCAUGAACAAGCCUAGAGCCUUCAUGCAUGGCAAAAUACUAGUUAACAGUUACAUACACAAGAAGUGUAUAUUAGACCACUGUAAAUCAGCUUACUAAACAUAUAUAUCUCUGGCAAUCAUUCACAUGGAAAUCUAAUAAUCACUUCCUUGAAUGUAACUGUUAAUGCUUGUGAUGAUGCCAGAAACAAAAGAGAUGCUGACAAGCAGUCAACAGCACGUAAUGUCGAUUCUAGGUAUCUAUGCUUUAUUAUAUAUUUUUAAUUUUUUCUUCUUUUGGUUUUACUGUGAAUUAUUGAAAUGAAAAAAUAUAUAUAUAAAGUAGAUGGUGCUACGUCAGGAUUACCUUUGAGAUACCUAGAAACUCUCUCCAAAGGACACCUCCGUCAAGUAGUAGUGAUGGAUUCAGCACAAGAGUCAGUGAGGAUAAUUUAUUUUUAUAAAAUAAUUAUUAUUAUUAUUAUCAUACAUAUGAAAAGGAAACGUGAAACAUAAUCAAUUGUACAAUAAAAUAAUUGCCGCUAAAAUCUUUAAUGGUAUUUCAUAUUGCCGCUAAAAGAAAAAACAAUUGCCACCGUAUGUCAUUGGAGUAGUGUGUUUGAUAAAAUUUAAAAGACCCAAAGAACAAAAUUUGACAAAAGGUUGAAAAAAAUGAGGGACAAAAGGAUAAAAACACUGGAAAUGAACUUGUAUUUUUUUUCCUGAAAUCAAUUAUAUGACCCAUUAGCAUGCUAUUAGUAACAAACCAUGGUAAAUAUAACAUACAAUUGGGAAUUAGCUACUAAACAUACAACUAAUCCCUAUGAUCGCUUAAAUAUUUUUAACAAAACUGUAAUAUACCAGGAGCCAUGGCAUGGACAAGCAUCAAGGGACCAAAAAAUAGGCUAAGUACAAAGAAAGUGAGAGAGUUUCUCAUUUCUAUAACCAAAUUAACGAAACCAAGAUUUUAUCUUGUUGGUAUUCUACCUUCUUUUAAUUACCACAUAAUUGAAUCUCUGUUGUCAUUUUGGCAAUGUUAG